ACAGCCACAGUAGCCUGUUAUAUAUAAAGAUUUGAUAACAGAUUGGACAAGAGAUAAGGAAAGAUUCUAAAGGAGAGAGAGAGACAAAUCAACAUUAGCAAAGGUGCAAAACAAGAAAUUACUUUCAGACUUACUUCACCCAGCACAGUAACCCACAAUGGAUAUCUGUUCACACAAGUACACAUCUUACUACCUGCUUGGAUAUGAAGACUGAAAAGCAAAAAAUCAGGAUGGACAUGCAAAGUUCAAUGAUAAACAGAUAAAACAAGAUACAAAAGAUAAGGAACAAUUUGAAACUACAGUUGCAACAAACCACACCAAGACGUAGAUGGCGGAAAAGUGGCUGUCCUCCACCAAGUUAGCAGCAUGGAUUUUUUAUUUUGCAUGGAAAGACACAGCUACAGCUCGACCAGACAAAUAAUAGUCCAAAUGCGUGCUUAGCCCUUUGUGAGAAUGUUGUGGAAUUGGCAGGAAGCUCCCACAUUGCUAGCAAAGGAAAAGCAGGCAGAAAUUGCAUUGCAGUUCUGUGGAAGUUAUGAACAAUUAGUGGGUCACUCCAAAUCCACACCAAAAGGAUAACCAGGAGCGGCAGGGAGCUUGCCCAAACCAAGACGUUUCCUGAUGAGGCAAUGGGACUACUCCACCUAAGAGGAGUCUAACAGGGUAGGGCAGUUCCACUCCGCUUUAAUUAGGAGAACAAACCUCUGCCUUAGAGUCUGUGCCAGGCAUCUCUACCAGGAAGUUCAUGGCGUGAUAGCCUUCCAUCACAUACACAUUAGCCUUAUUCUGUUAACAAGGGUUGGAAAACAAACAUUUGAACAGGUCUGGACGUCAAAAUCUAUUGAGGACUCACUAGUGACCACAAAAUAGACACACACACACAAAGAGGAAAAUCAUUUUGACAUCAUGUUCAUCUGACCUGUACAAAAAUCAACUUACACGGGGUUUCCAAGUAACUCCAACAAAUUAUGACAUCACAAUAUUUCUUCCAACAUUUUUUUUCAUAAAUAAUUGAUAGACAUUUUGUGGUAUUUAAGAAUAGAUUAUUGAGCCUGACAGGUUGCCUUGAUUCCAUCAUGCAUCACCCCUCUCUGCCAAACUUAAGUACUCCAGAAUAACAGACAGCCUAACCAAAAUGACAUGUAUGUCACCCAGUGGUUUGAUAAGCAUGAUCUCAAAUUUAUUCACAUGAUACAGUCUUCUCAGUCACCAUAUCUGAACCCAAAUUACAUUUUAGGGAGUUUCUGAAACUUUAUCUAAGCCCCAUUAAGAAUUUCUAGUUCAAGUACAAGAAUUGUGCUGCAUCCUACUUAUAGAAUUCCCGACAUUGAUAGAUUAUUUAUUAAAGCACAUACUAGAUGUUCUGAUGGCACAAGGUGGAUCGACAUCCUAUUAGAACAUUUUCUUGAUUGUCUACAUCCUUGGAAUAAAAAUGCAACGGAUCGACUGGUACAGAAAAAAGAUGCUAGAGACUUAACAGUUAUAAAUGACAAGGACUGAUGAGGAAAGCAUUGAGAGAGACAGAAAACGUGAAGCACAUAUUUGUACUAUGUGUCUUUGUAUUGGUAAUGGGUAGGGAUACCAGUACAGAACAAACCAGUACCGGACAGAGAAAUAGAGAGAGCCGUGACCUUGGAUUAAACAAUUUACCUUUAGAUUGCUGCACAGCAAGACACCCAAUAGAUGCUUGGGAUGCCUGAGAUAACAGAUUGAGGGAAGCCAUGUACUGUAUGUUGAAAGGUUGACAUCAAGCAGUAUGUGGUCCUACAUCAAAAACUGCCCUUUAAAAGGUGAGGCUGGAAAAACUGGAUGGCUUGUUAUUACCAUUUAGAUUUGCCCAGUUCUAAAAUAUUCCACAAAAUAGCAGUACAUGGUUCCAGAAUGGUGUCGCCUUUUCAAAGGGGCAAUUCAACAGCUGCCUGAGAUGCCUGCCUGGCUCUUUAAAGGCUAUGGUGGACUCAAGUGGUGCCUGAGGGUAUCUCUUAUGGUAGCAUCUCCCUUUUCCUUUCAGAAAUGCCUGGCAAGACCCCAGCCUCAGCAUGCUCUUAUGCUGCCCAGAGGCUAUACAAACUACCUGAAGUCUACUGCUUUGUAAAUGACCGUUAGCUGACCUGCUUUUUCGCAUGGCUCACGCCUGAAUGCUGCCGCUGUCCCUGCUAUGGAGUGUUUCAGAUUUAUUGUGAGUCAUGAUGGAGUAUGUUGCACUCCCUUGGGCAAAGAUUUGUAACACAUGCUGUGAUGUAAAGCAAGCCGAGCCUGAGAGUGGAAUGGUCCCUGAUGUACUUUGAAACUCUCCUGGGAUGGGAAAAAAGCUAAUAAAUAAAAAAAAAUGGAGAGACAACUUAUGCACUACUGUGGCUAGAAGGCAGAAAAUUAACUACUCAGAGCUGCUGGAGAACCCCUGUGUUCAGAUGUGACCCAGUGUGGUGCACCAAAUGCUAAUUUUUAUAAAUAAACUCACUUCAGUUAAGAAAAGGAAAAUAAAUCCAUCUGACAUACUUGCUGAACAGCUUCCAGAGUUUAUUGCAUUAAAAUCCAUUGGUGUCUGGGAGUGGAAAUGGAGAAUAUAUGGGGUGGCGGGAGGGGGGUUGUCUAAUAACAAAGCAAUGUACAGUUUGCACAGUUCAAAAAAUAAGGACAUCACUGGGCAGGACAGAACAUCGGGAUGUGCCAUCUUGGGUUAGUCAUCCACCUCAUUUACAGAACCGGAUUAAUCCAACUGAGGGGUCGGGAGGUGGCCAUCCCAUGCAGAUGCAGUCCACUUUUGGAGAGUGCAAGACCAAGGUCAAGUAAAGACCAAGUCCAAAUGAUAGUGAGACUCAGUCAGAAAAGUCACACUGAACAUGAAGUUACAAUCCCAAGCAAGACUCUGAUCACACUCUGAACUGUAGCAGCUUAUAAUACUGUUUUUCUUAAGAGUUAACGAUUUCUGAAUAUUUCUAUAGAUUGAUGUGUGCCACAUUAUUUAUAUAAAGAAAGGUUUUUGACCUGGUAUUACACUCCAUGUAAGGCAUGCUGUUGAUGACCGGUUUUCUGCAGCAUUAAAGUCACAUUAAGAUGAACUGGACUGCACAACAUCAGAUUUAAUCCUAACAUAUCACACAGAGCCACAUCGGUCUUCUAGUAUGUUGUACCAGUGUCAUUAUCUGUGUGUAAAACAGGAACAAACAGGGUUAGGGUCACAGAGAAAAAAGCUGUGCAAAACACCUCUUGUUAGCAUAUUGAACAAUACAAAUUGUAGAAGCGUACUUUAUCAAACAUUUAUAAACUUGAUAUUUCCCUUACUGCUGUCAAAUAUGUUUUAGGAACUGUAGGCUUGUAGGUAAAGUAAAUGUGCACAUCUCUAUCCUAACACACCAAUGCUCCUCAAAUGUGAGUGGCUGCAUUAGAGAAAAAGAAGGACACUCAUUUUUCACAAAUUUAACAUUAAUUUUCUAACUUAACACUGAAAAACAUAAAAACAGGUAAACUAUACGUAUAUGUGUGUUUUUAACUUGGUUUGGAAAACCGAUUCUUAACAAACAGCAUGAUCUUGUUAUUUUCAGUUUUGCAGAAUAAACCACAUUUUGUUAGCUGUUCUUUUGUAACAAGCAGACGUCUAACUUUAGUGGAUUGCUGCAUUUAAUCUGAGACCAAAGACCAUAUGUGGUGAGACCAAUGGCUGAGAGAUUGAGACAAAUACAAGUUUAACACAGUCUUGCUUCUUUCACCUCAGAACACUGCCAAACUCAAACAAAUGGUUUCCCAAACAGAGUUGGAGGUGAUAGCACAUGAACUUGUGCCAUUUCGUCUUGAUUAGUUUAACUCUUUGUUCAAAGUCAUCCUCCUUGGAUCGCCUACAGCUGGUCCAGAAUGCUGCUGCAAGGCUCUUCACCAGAUCAUCUACAAGAUCUCCUCUAUCACACCUAUUCUAAUUUUUUUGCACUGGUUUCCCAUGAGAUUCAGGGCUCCUUCUGAAAUACUCGUUCUCACGUUUAGAGCCCUGCAUGGUCAUACUCCUACCUCUAUUAUUGAGCUUCUGCAGCCAUAUAUCACGUCAGUCUCUGAGGUCUGAUCAAGAUUUGUUAGCUGUACCGCGUACCAGACUGAAAACUAAAGGGGAUAUGGCCCCUAAACUGUGGAACUCUCUUCCUGUAGGUGUGAGAUCAGUGGACAUUUUUAAAAAGAAGAUUAAGACUCCUUAAUUCAAGCUUGUCUUUGGGAAACCUUACUGAGUUCUACUGUGUUUGUCUAGGCAUUUUAUCCUGGCUUCAAUUUGUUUAAUCUCGCAUUUUAUCCCUGGUCUUGCUCAAGUUUGCUCUUGUGUGUUAUUAAGUUUUAUUGUGUAUGUCUUUAU